UUGGCCAGAUCACCCAGGAAUUUGACUAAUCUCUUCGGAUCUUGGAAACUAAGCAAGGUUGAGCUUGGACAGUGCUUGGAUGGGUGACCACCUUGAUAAAAGGUUGUGGACCUAC
rnacentral:rRNA from 1 species